rnacentral:tRNA from 1 species
UGGGAUGUGGCUCAAGUGGUAGUGCGCUUGCCUGGCAUGCAUGUGGCCCGGGUUCGAUCCUCAGCACCACAU